rnacentral:rRNA from 1 species
ACGGGUGAGUAACGCGUGGGUAAUCUACCCCGGUCUGGGGGAUAACGCACCGAAAGGUGCGCUAAUACCGCAUGACCCGGCGGGUUUUCGGACCUGUCGGAAAAGGUGGCCUCUACUUGUAAGCUACCGAACUGGGAUGAGCCCGCGUCCUAUUAGCUUGUUGGUGGGGUAAAGGCCUACCAAGGCGACGAUGGGUAGCUGGUCUGAGAGGACGGCCAGCCACACUGGAACUGGUACACGGUCCAGACUCCUACGGGAGGCAGCAGUGAGGAAUAUUGCGCAAUGGGGGAAACCCUGACGCAGCGAUGCCGCGUGAGUGAAGAAGGCCUUCGGGUCGUAAAGCUCUGUCGAACGGGAAGAACAGUCCGGGGACGAAUAAUCUCCGGGCCUGACGGUACCGUUGAAGGAAGCACCGGCUAACUCCGUGCCAGCAGCCGCGGUAAGACGGAGGGUGCGAGCGUUAUUCGGAUUUAUUGGGCGUAAAGAGUGUGUAGGCGGUCGAUCAAGUCUGAUGUGAAAGCCCGGGGCUUAACCUCGGAAGGGCGUUGGAAACUGGUCGACUUGAGUUCGGGAGAGGAAAGCGGAAU